UACGUAGGGGGCAAGCGUUGUCCGGAAUUAUUGGGCGUAAAGAGCGCGUAGGCGGUCCGAUAAGUCGGCUGUGAAAGUCAGGGGCUCAACCCUUGGAAGCCGGCCGAUACUGUCGAGCUAGAGUCCGGAAGAGGCGAGUGGAAUUCCUGGUGUAGCGGUGAAAUGCGCAGAUAUCAGGAAGAACACCCGUGGCGAAGGCGGCUCUCUGGGACGGUACUGACGCUGAGACGCGAAAGCGUGGGGAGCGAACAGG
rnacentral:rRNA from 1 species